rnacentral:lncRNA from 8 species
AGCUCAGCAUCCCGCUCCGCUGCUGUCCCUGCUGCCCCAUCUGAAGAGGCGGAAGGAAGGCGCAACCCGACCAGGCACAUUCACAUCGAAGCACUACCUUCAACUUGCCCACUGACCAGCUCUUAUUUGCAGUGAAACAUGAGUGAUAAAGAUAAAAACACCGGCCUCUUCUCCUCUUCUCACCUGAAAACGCUGCUGGGCACUGUCAUGUUGGAUUCCGAUUUCGCUGCUGCUGCUGGUAUUGAAAUAUCUGACCACUGCUAUUUGCUUGUUGUUUAUUUUAGCACGAUCAUGACCCUUUAAUCUUGUGACAAAGUCACCACAAUUGUGUAGCAGUCUAAUGCUUGUGGCUAGCUGAUGAAGUGGAGCUGCUGCAUGGUCUUAGCGGUUGAUGUUUCUGUAAUCUGUGAGGUAAGUUCUACAACUGUACAAAUCCCCAAAUUACCACAACGAAUCUAAUUUGUAUGCAAGAGGAGGAGACAAGCAGUAUUACGGGCUCAGGCUUGAAUGAAUGGUGGCCGGUGCGUGAGAGAAAAAAAGAUCUAUAAAGUUCAGCAAGUACUCACACUCAAACCAUAAAAAGAAGAAAAAAACAAGGAGGCUGAGAUGCAAAAAAUAUACAUAAUUUAAUUCCGUGCUCGUAAGACUGAAAAAUGUGCCAGUGUAAAGUGCAAAAAGCGCUAAUCAAAAAAGGCCGUACAUUUUGUUGUUUUAAAAGACCAUACAUUUUGUUGUUUUAAAAGACCGUACAUUUUGUUGUUUUAAAAGACCGUACAUUUUGUUGUUUUAAAAAACCGUACAUUUUGUUGUUUUAAAAGACCGUACAUUUUGUCGUCUAAAAGACCGUACAUUUUGUCGUCUAAAAGACCGUACAUUUUGUUGUCUUAAAAGACCGUACAUUUUGUUGUCUUAAAAGACCGUACAUUUUGUUGUCUAAAAGACCGUACAUUUUGUCGUCUAGAAGAGCGUACAUUUUGUCGUCUAGAAGAGCGUACAUUUUGUCGUCUAGAAGAGCGUACAUUUUGUCGUAU